CUUGGCAUUCGGCUUGCGAGCCCGGAUACCAUUGCCAACUGCAUGCAACAAGUGGGUUUUACCUAAACCGGUACCACCAUA
rnacentral:antisense_RNA from 1 species